UAAUACGAAGGGGGCUAGCGUUGCUCGGAAUUACUGGGCGUAAAGGGCGCGUAGGCGGAUAGUUUAGUCAGAGGUGAAAGCCCAGGGCUCAACCUUGGAAUUGCCUUUGAUACUGGCUAUCUUGAGUUCGGAAGAGGUAAGUGGAAUGCCGAGUGUAGAGGUGAAAUUCGUAGAUAUUCGGCGGAACACCAGUGGCGAAGGCGACUUACUGGUCCGAUACUGACGCUGAGGCGCGAAAGCGUGGGGAGCAAACAGGAUUAGAUACCCUGGUAGUCCACGCUGUAAACGAUGAGAGCUAGUUGUCGGUGUGCAUGCACAUCGGUGACGCAGCUAACGCAUUAAGCUCUCCGCCUGGGGAGUACGGUCGCAAGAUUA
rnacentral:rRNA from 1 species